rnacentral:lncRNA from 1 species
CUCCUGAAUGUAUAUUUUUUCCUCUUUUUGGAUUAACCUUUAUGGCCCCUCUCAAUCUUCUUGUAGAAAAGUUUUUAAAUCCUCAUCAUUUUGGUCCAUCUUUGGUCUUGCUCUCUUAUAUUUUUGUUUCAUUUCUGUUGCUGAGAUCUCAGUUGGUUCUUUUUCAUCUUCGCGAAGAUGAGAAUAUCUGCAAUUGUCAAAAAAAGUGCAUGUCCCACUUUGCAAGAAAUCGUUUACUGGCUUCUUGUUUUAGUUUCUUCAACACAGAAGUAUUUCUGGUCAGGAAUGAUCGUAAUGCUGUUUUCUGUUCCUUUGGUGAUGUGUGUCCAUUCAUGUGAUUUUUUUCUUGCUACUGGG